GCCUGGUGCAGUGGCAUGCACCUAUAGUCCUAGCUACUCAGGAAGCUGAGGCAGGAGGAUCACUUGAGCCCAGGAGUUUGAGACUGUAGUGUGCUAUGAUUGUGUCUGUGAAUAGCCACUGCACUUCAGCCUGGGCAACAUAGUGAGAACCAAUCUCAA
rnacentral:SRP_RNA from 2 species